AUCUUCAGGUGAAUCACUGCAGGGCCCCAAUGGAUUUCAACAUGCCCUCCAGUUUGCCACUCCUCUGGAGGGCCGCCACAUCACUGCCACCACCGAUGCACUCCUCACCGAUGAAUACUCGUGGGACCUGAACCAAUACAAGAAAAAAGGAAGAAAUUCUCUUUCAGCUUCAUGCACAGGUGCGUCUUCCUCCUCUCACUGCCAACCAGCUGCAACAGGAGACUGCCCCUCCCUGAUCCUGGUUCUGCCUGAGGUUUCUUCUUGUUAAAAGGGACUUUUUCCUUCCCUCUGUUGCCAAGUGCUUACUCACGGGGAGCAUCUGAUUGUUACUGUAGGGUCUUUACCGUACAAUAUAAAACACCUUGAGACGACUGUUGUUGUGAUUCGACACUAUAUAAAUAAAACUGAAUUGAAUGUUUUAUACUGUCUAUGUGUAGACUGCAUUAGAGCAUGAGCACCCACAGACAGCUGCAGCCUCCUCCAACAGAACAACACAACACACAGAGACAGAUCCCGAUUGACUGUGGGAUGUACCAGAACAAACCCAAUUCACAGAAUAAGCACCAAGUUCAUGCUGUAGGAAUUUUUGGGCUCUUCCCCCAAGUCUCACUUGCCAAAUGAGUGAUUCAAAUACAGCUGACAGCAUAAAAACUUAUAGUCAGUGAUGUAAAGUAACUUGUUAUGUGCAUCAGCGUUAUACAGUUAGAUUAAAAAUUCAUGUUAUUUCAAAUACUUAAAAUUAAAAAGAAAUGAUAUUGCAAUAACCAAUGGAAGUGUUGGUGAUUACAGAGGGGUUACAUCCAAGUCUAUUCUUUUCUGGCUUCUCUGUGGAUUAUGUCUUCUCAGCCUGUGGCAAUGCCUCGUCAGCAAAGCCACUGGGAUAAAUUUGAGACAUCAUAAAGGGUAGGAACAUGUGAAUGCUGAAUUGUUAUAGUGAGAGCAGUAUAAUAAGAACCAAAGUGAUAUGUUGGAAUUCAGAACGGCAUCUGUCACUGAUUUAAUUGAGUCUCACCGGUUUUCUUCCCCAAGCCACAGGGACAAACUACAUGGAGGCCGGAGGCAUAUUAUGUAUGCAGCUGUUUCCUUGUCUGGUGCAGGGAAAGCUUCCAGGCAUAUGAGAGACUCCAGGGACCACAUGAAUCUUUGUUAAACAAGGGAUGUUAUAUCCGAACAGGUAGCCUGAUUUUUAUUUAUUUUUUGCAUUUAGAUGUGGUUGGAACAUAUAUGAGUGUUAGCAUUUUUGUUUCCAAGAACUGAAACUGAAGGUGUGAAGAAUGCAAGUUCUCACGCCACACAUCUUCAAACAUACUCAAACAUCAGAUCAAGCUGCCUCUCACAGUGAGUCACAGGAUGCAUGGUACAGAUUAAAAAGAAUAAAUGAUGCCCCUUACUCCGUGUUUGUGGGUCAGACUCAACCAUCAUUUUGAUCUCAACUACUCUGUUAUAAAGUUUCAUGAUUAUAUCUUGCGCAUUUUUAUUGGGUUUUUUUUUGUGUGUGCCCAUAAGUACCCAUAACUGUUUUACAGUUGUGGGUAUUUUUGUGUACACCAGUCCCUCUAAGCUAUGUUAUUACCAGCUGCAUCACCGAGGCUGGUAUUGUUUACACCCUGUGAUCUUGUCUGUCUCUUUGUGUGUAUGAUCGUGGCAAAAUGUGCUGCUAGACACACUUACUUUAACCACAAAAGCAGUUUUGACGACUUCAGCAGUGUUUGUGUGUCUGUCUGUCCGUUUCUGUGCAUGAAGAGAUUUUAUCAACAUGAAGCUGUUGCAGCACUGUAUAAAAUGUUAAUGAGGUGAAGCUGAAAAAUGAAAGAAUUGGAAGAUGAGUGUGGACUGCUUGUUAUACAGCACUUUUUUUGCUAUACCGGAGCACUCAAAGUGCUUUACACAACAUACCUCAGUCACCCAGGCAGUUUUUUUCUACACCUUUCUAACAUUUAAACUGGUAAGCAAAUAUCUUGCUCAAAGAGACUUUGACAUACAGACUGGAGCAGCGAGGGAUCAAACCACCAACCUUCCAGUUAGUGGAUGACCUGCUCUACCUCCUGAGGUCCAGCCACCCCAGGCGUUGGUAUUUAUCUGCCCCGUCAUCAAGCGAACAGAAAUGCACCAUCUGAAUGUUAGUCACACAAAAUAUGAUCCCUUUCUGGACCCACUCUGUAACCACGACACUAGUAUCAGAUAACUCAUGUUCUACCUUGUGUUCAUUUCUUGCGGACAUUAGUAGUAGGCAUUUGUUCAUAUAACAGUUAUUUAGUUUCUGAAAACCAAUCUUAUAUUAAAAUAAGUGACGGGUCAUAGGAUAUUUUGACAUUAGUUGUACCUCUCAUUGAAAUUGAAUUUUGAAACACUGGAUUACUGUCAGCUAGCUUGUAUCUCACUCCUAUGAAGCUACUCUGACACCAUUAGAAAAAGUUAUAUUUAAGUACCUUUUAAUUACUCACCCACUCUUAAGUCUUUGUACUAUACAUCUUUCUACUCUUAAAUUGUGUCUUUUGCAUACAAGCCUUUGUUAAAAAAAAUCUAAAUCCCAACACGAUUGAAUAAUAACUAUAUUUUGUCAUUAAAAUCUGAAAAAAAGAAGAGAAACAUCUUUCAGGUAAAACUGUGUUGAUGUUUAUUGAAAUGUCUUGUACAUUUUCAGAUGGGCAGAAUCAGAUUUCUUUCAGAAUGGACUUGUGGCUUCUUGUGUUUAAACUCUGCUGGGAAAUCUAAAACUUCCUCUGUAUUUCUUACUAAACCCCUCCACACUGAUUCAUAUACUGUUUGUUCAUUAUAUUCUGAAUUAGCUCUUACAGGGAAAACCCCCCCCAAAACAUCUUUGGAAGGUCGAGAAGAGGACACAGUUAUGUGAAGUAGCCCUUUGUAGCUCUUAAUUCUGGGAAAUUAUCACAACCAGGAAAAACAGUACAAAUACCAGCCCUUUCCCCCACAGCGGGAUGGACAUUUUUCUGUUGUUGUGACACUUUGUCGAUACAAGUGCUAAUUAUCUGUCCAAAAUAACAAGUCAAGAAGAGUUUGCAAUAAACCUAAAUUGAUUCUGACAACCAACCCAAAGAGCCAGUCUACUGCAGAGACUGACUAUCUGACAGAAUGCCACAAUCAAGUACAAUAAAAACAGGACAGAAAAAUAUUCAUUUUUGCGGGAAAUGAAAAUAAACAGUGCCACCCCCCAAAAGAAAGUACAGACUCUUACUUGUCUGCAAAAUAUUUCACACUUCAACACCAAAAUGACCAAGUUCCUCUUUUACAUUCCUACAUUUAAGGAAGUUUUAUUUCAGCGAAA